rnacentral:rRNA from 1 species
AUUGGACGCUGGCGGCAGGCCUAACACAUGCAAGUCGAGCGGAUGAAGGGAGCUUGCUCCUGGAUUCAGCGGCGGACGGGUGAGUAAUGCCUAGGAAUCUGCCUGGUAGUGGGGGAUAACGUCCGGAAACGGGCGCUAAUACCGCAUACGUCCUGAGGGAGAAAGUGGGGGAUCUUCGGACCUCACGCUAUCAGAUGAGCCUAGGUCGGAUUAGCUAGUUGGUGGGGUAAAGGCCUACCAAGGCGACGAUCCGUAACUGGUCUGAGAGGAUGAUCAGUCACACUGGAACUGAGACACGGUCCAGACUCCUACGGGAGGCAGCAGUGGGGAAUAUUGGACAAUGCGAAAGCCUGAUCCAGCCAUGCCGCGUGUGUGAAGAAGGUCUUCGGAUUGUAAAGCACUUUAAGUUGGGAGGAAGGGCAGUAAGUUAAUACCUUGCUGUUUUGACGUUACCAACAGAAUAAGCACCGGCUAACUUCGUG